UCGAUGCAACGCGAAGAACCUUACCUGGACUUGACAUGUCCGGAAUUCUGCAGAGAUGCGGGAGUGCCCUUCGGGGAAUCGGAACACAGGUGCUGCAUGGCUGUCGUCAGCUCGUGUCGUGAGAUGUUGGGUUAAGUCCCGCAACGAGCGCAACCCUUGUCCUUAGUUGCCAGCGGUUCGGCCGGGCACUCUAGGGAGACUGCCGGUGACAAACCGGAGGAAGGUGGGGAUGACGUCAAGUCCUCAUGGCCUUUAUGUCCAGGGCUACACACGUGCUACAAUGGCCGAUACAAACCGCUGCAAGCCCGCGAGGGGGAGCUAAUCGGAAAAAGUCGGCCUCAGUUCAGAUUGCAGUCUGCAACUCGACUGCAUGAAGCUGGAAUCGCUAGUAAUCGCGGAUCAGAACGCCGCGGUGAAUACGUUCCCGGGCCUUGUACACACCGCCCGUCAAAUCACGAAAGUGGGUUGCACUAGAAGUCGGUGCGCUGACCGCAAGGAAGCAGCCGCCCAAGGUGUGAUUCAUGAUUGGGGUUAAGUCGUAACAAGGUAACCGUA
rnacentral:rRNA from 1 species